UGCGAGCGUGACGGCGCGAGCAGGUGCGAAAGCAGGUCAUAGUGAUCCGGUGGUUCUGAAUGGAAGGGCCAUCGCUCAACGGAUAAAAGGUACUCCGGGGAUAACAGGCUGAUACCGCCCAAGAGUUCAUAUCGACGGCGGUGUUUGGCACCUCGAUGUCGGCUCAUCACAUCCUGGGGCUGAAGUAGGUCCCAAGGGUAUGGCUGUUCGCCAUUUAAAGUGGUACGCGAGCUGGGUUUAGAACGUCGUGAGACAGUUCGGUCCCUAUCUGCCGUGGGCGCUGGAGAACUGAGGGGGGCUGCUCCUAGUACGAGAGGACCGGAGUGGACGCAUCACUGGUGUUCGGGUUGUCAUGCCAAUGGCACUGCCCGGUAGCUAAAUGCGGAAGAGAUAAGUGCUGAAAGCAUCUAAGCACGAAACUUGCC
rnacentral:rRNA from 2 species